GAUGAACGCUGGCGGCGUGCUUAACACAUGCAAGUCGAACGAUGAAGCCCAGCUUGCUGGGUGGAUUAGUGGCGAACGGGUGAGUAACACGUGAGUAACCUGCCCUUAACUCUGGGAUAAGCCUGGGAAACUGGGUCUAAUACCGGAUAGGAGCGUCCACCGCAUGGUGGGUGUUGGAAAGAUUUAUCGGUUUUGGAUGGACUCGCGGCCUAUCAGCUUGUUGGUGAGGUAAUGGCUCACCAAGGCGACGACGGGUAGCCGGCCUGAGAGGGUGACCGGCCACACUGGGACUGAGACACGGCCCAGACUCCUACGGGAGGCAGCAGUGGGGAAUAUUGCACAAUGGGCGCAAGCCUGAUGCAGCGACGCCGCGUGAGGGAUGACGGCCUUCGGGUUGUAAACCUCUUUCAGUAGGGAAGAAGCGAAAGUGACGGUACCUGCAGAAGAAGCACCGGCUAACUACGUGCCAGCAGCCGCGGUAAUACGUAGGGUGCGAGCGUUAUCCGGAAUUAUUGGGCGUAAAGAGCUCGUAGCGGUUUGUCGCGUCUGUCGUGAAAGUCCGGGGCUUAACCCCGGAUCUGCGGUGGGUACGGGCAGACUAGAGUGCAGCAGGGGAGACUGGAAUUCCUGGUGUAGCGGUGGAAUGCGCAGAUAUCAGGAGGAACACCGAUGGCGAAGGCAGGUCUCUGGGCUGUAACUGACGCUGAGGAGCGAAAGCAUGGGGAGCGAACAGGAUUAGAUACCCUGGUAGUCCAUGCCGUAAACGUUGGGCACUAGGUGUGGGGACCAUUCCACGGUUUCCGCGCCGCAGCUAACGCAUUAAGUGCCCCGCCUGGGGAGUACGGCCGCAAGGCUAAAACUCAAAGGAAUUGACGGGGGCCCGCACAAGCGGCGGAGCAUGCGGAUUAAUUCGAUGCAACGCGAAGAACCUUACCAAGGCUUGACAUGUUCUCGAUCGCCGUAGAGAUACGGUUUCCCCUUUGGGGCGGGUUCACAGGUGGUGCAUGGUUGUCGUCAGCUCGUGUCGUGAGAUGUUGGGUUAAGUCCCGCAACGAGCGCAACCCUCGUUCCAUGUUGCCAGCACGUCGUGGUGGGGACUCAUGGGAGACUGCCGGGGUCAACUCGGAGGAAGGUGAGGACGACGUCAAAUCAUCAUGCCCCUUAUGUCUUGGGCUUCACGCAUGCUACAAUGGCCGGUACAAUGGGUUGCGAUACUGUGAGGUGGAGCUAAUCCCAAAAAGCCGGUCUCAGUUCGGAUUGGGGUCUGCAACUCGACCCCAUGAAGUCGGAGUCGCUAGUAAUCGCAGAUCAGCAACGCUGCGGUGAAUACGUUCCCGGGCCU
rnacentral:rRNA from 1 species